rnacentral:rRNA from 1 species
AUAAGGGUAUAUGGCGGAUGCCUUGGCAUUGGUUGCCGAAGAAGGACGUGGCAAGCUGCGAUAAGCUUCGGGUAGUGGCAAACACACGUUUGAUCCGGAGAUUUCCGAAUGGGACAACCUGUUCCGGUUUACCGGGACAUCCUUAGCUGAAUACAUAGGUUAAGGAGGGUAACGGGGAGAAUUGAACCAUCUUAGUACCCCCAGGAAAAGAAAAUAAUAAUGAUUGCCUCAGUAGUGGUGAGCGAACGGGCAAGAGCCUAAACCAGUUUUGCUGUAAGCCGGUGCGCGUUGGCAGAAAUGGUGUUGCGGGUUGCUGUUUGAUUGUAGUACCGUACAGUCGGGAAGUUACAAAACAUAUUUUUAGCCGAACAACUCUGGAAAGUGAGACCAUAGUAGGUGAAAGUCCUGUAGGCAAAAAGGAUAUGUCUUCCUAACGGCACACCCAAGUACCGCGGAGCACGUGGAAUUCCGUGGGAAUCCGGGAGGACCAUCUCCCAAGGCUAAAUACAUACCAAUGACCGAUAGUGGACCAGUACCGUGAGGGAAAGGUGAAAAGUACCCCGGGAGGGGAGUGAAAUAGUACCUGAAACCAUAUACCUACAACCAGUCGAAGUCUCGACAUUGUCGGGAUGACGGCGUACCUUUUGUUUAAUGGCCCAGCGAGUUACUCAUGUGCAGCGAGGUUAAACCUUUUAGAGGUGAAGCCGGAGCGAAAGCGAGUCUGAAUAGGGCGUAUAGUUGCACGUGGUAGACGCGAAGCCGAGUGAUCUAGCCAUGACCAGGAUGAAGUGCCGGUAAAACGGCAUGGAGGUCCGAACCAACUCCUGUUGAAAAAGUAGUGGAUGAGUUGUGGCUAGGGGUGAAAGGCCAAUCAAACUCGGCGAUAGCUCGUUCUCCUCGAAAUAUAUUUAGGUAUAGCCUCAUAUUUACAAUAACGGAGGUAGAGCACUGAAUGGACUAGGGGGCCCACCAGCCUACCAAACCCAAUCAAACUCCGAAUGCCGUUAUUUAAUGUAUGGGAGUCAGGGAACGUGGGAUAAGCUUCGUUUCCGAGAGGGAAACAACCCAGACCAUCAGCUAAGGUCCCCAAAUACAUGUUAAGUGACUAAGGAUGUACGUUUGCCUUAACAGCUAGGAGGUUGGCUUAGAAGCAGCCAUCCUUUAAAGAAAGCGUAAUAGCUCACUAGUUCAGCGGAUGCGCGCCGAAAAUACACGGGACUAAACAUGUUACCGAAGCUAUGGAUUUUCCGACGUAAGUCGGGAGAUGGUAGAGGAGCGUUCUGUAAGCCGUUGAAGGUGUUCUGUAAGGGAUGCUGGAGGUAUCAGAAAUGAGAAUGCUGGGAUGAGUAGCGAUAAUGAAGGUGGAAAACCUUCACACCGAAAAUCUAAGGUUUCCUGGGCAAGGCUCGUCCUCCCAGGGUAAGUCGGGUCCUAAGCCGAGGCCGAAAAGGCGUAGGCGAUGGCAAACAGGUAUAAAAUUCCUGUACCGUUAUCAGUGCGAUGGGGUGACGCAGGAAGCUAUCAUCAGCCCCCUGUUGGUUGGGGGUCUAAGCGUAUAGGAGGAUCACUUAGGCAAAUCCGGGUGGUCAUAACUCUGAAGCGUGAUGGGGAACGGAGUCUUCGGACAAAGGAACUGAUGGAUGCUCGGCUGCCAAGAAAAACCUCUAAGCUUCAGCUGAAUAACGCCCGUACCGCAAUCCGACACAGGUAGAUGAGGCGAGAAGCCUAAGGUGCGCGAGAGAACCGUGAUAAAGGAACUCGGCAAAUUAGCCCCGUAACUUAGGGAGAAGGGGUGCCUGUCGCAAGGCAGGCCGCAGUGAAGAGGCUCAAGCGACUGUUUACCAAAAACACAGCACUCUGCUAAAUCGAAAGAUGACGUAUAGGGUGUGACACGUGCCCGGUGCCGGAAGGUUAACAGGAGAUGUCAUCCCGCUUAGCGGGAGAAGCGUUGAAUCGAAGCCCCGGUAAACGGCGGCCGUAACUAUAACGGUCCUAAGGUAGCGAAAUUCCUUGUCGGGUAAGUUCC